UACGGAGGGUGCAAGCGUUGCUCGGAAUUAUUGGGCGUAAAGGGCAGGUAGGUGGUCUUAUUUGUCCGGGGUGAAAUCCUUGAGCUUAACUCAAGAAGUGCCCCGGAGACGGUGAGACUAGAGUUUUGGAGAGGGUCGUGGAAUUCCCGGUGUAGCGGUGAAAUGCGUAGAGAUCCGGAAGAACACCGGUGGCGAAGGCGGCCUGCUGGGCUAUGGCUGACACUGAGGCGCGACAGCGUGGGGAGCAAACAGG
rnacentral:rRNA from 1 species